UACAGAGGUCUCAAGCGUUGUUCGGAUUCAUUGGCGUAAAGAGCUCGUAGGCGGUUUGUCGCGUCUGCCGUGAAAGUCCGGGGCUCAACUCCGGAUCUGCGGUGGGUACGGGCAGACUAGAGUGAUGUAGGGGAGACUGGAAUUCCUGGUGUAGCGGUGAAAUGCGCAGAUAUCAGGAGGAACACCGGUGGCGAAGGCGGGUCUCUGGGCCGUAACUGACGCUGAGGAGCGAAAGCAUGGGGAGCGAACAGG
rnacentral:rRNA from 1 species